rnacentral:rRNA from 1 species
CAAUAGCGUAUAUUAAAGUUGUUGCAGUUAAAAAGCUCGUAGUUGGAUUUCGGGACGGGCCAGUUGGUCCGCCGCAAGGUGUGUUACUGACUGGUCUGUUCUUCUUCGCAAAGACUGCGUGUGCUCUUCGUUGAGUGUGCGUAGGAUUUACGACGUUUACUUUGAAAAAAUUAGAGUGUUCAAAGCAGGCUAUCGUUUGAAUACAUGAGCAUGGAAUAAUGGAAUAGGACUUUGGUCCUAUUUUGUUGGUUUCUAGGACCGAAGUAAUGAUUAAGAGGGACAAUUGGGGGCAUCCGUAUUUCGUUGUCAGAGGUGAAAUUCUUGGAUUUACGAAAGACGAACAACUGCGAAAGCACUUGCCAAGAGUGUUUUCAUUAA